AAGAACUUCGUAUAGUGGUUAGUACAGUGAUCUUCAAAAUCAUUUGGGAUUGUUCAAAUCAAUCAGUUCUUG